GACGUAGGGCGCGAGCGUUGUCCGGAAUCAUUGGGCGUAAAGAGCGUGUAGGUGGCUCGGUAAGUCCGCUGUAAAAGUCCAGGGCUCAACCCUGGAAAGCCGGUGGAAACUGUCGAGCUAGAGUCCGGAAGAGGCGAGUGGAAUUCCUGGUGUAGCGGUGAAAUGCGCAGAUAUCAGGAGGAACACCAAUGGCGAAGGCAGCUCGCUGGGACGGUACUGACGCUGAGACGCGAAAGCGUGGGGAGCAAACAGG
rnacentral:rRNA from 1 species